rnacentral:misc_RNA from 1 species
GAGUUCAUGCCCUUACGGGUAGAUCUCCCACCCUUGAAUAUUAUACCUUCGUUGCUUUGGCAGGCCGUGGAAACACCACGGGCUUCGGCUUGUGUCGUGCCUGCCAGAGGAAACAAACUCUGUUUUUAGUGAUGUCUGAGUACUAUAUAAUAGUUAAAACUUUCAACAACGGAUCUCUUGGUUCU